UAGUACGAGAGGACCGGGAUGGACGAACCGAUGGUGUUCCAGUUGUCGCGCCAGCGGCAUCGCUGGGUAGCUAAGUUCGGAAGGGAUAACCGCUGAAAGCAUCUAAGUGGGAAGCCCACCUCAAGAUAAGAUAUCCCUCCUGGCGGAGACGUCAGGACUGAAGACCCCUUGUAGACUACGAGGUUGAUAGGUCAGGUGUGUAAGCGUAGUAAUGCGCUUAGCUAACUGAUACUAAUCGGUCGUGCGGCUUGACCAUA
rnacentral:rRNA from 1 species